AGAAUCAACGCUGGCGGCGUGCCUAACACAUGCAAGUCGCACGAGAAAGGGGAGCAAUCCCUGAGUACAGUGGCGCACGGGUGAGUAACACGUGAAUCAUCUACCUCCGAGUGGGGAAUAACUGAGAGAAAUCUUAGCUAAUACCGCAUAAUACCCACGGGUCAAAGCAGUAAUGCGCUUGGAGAGGAGUUCGCGGCAGAUUAGUUAGUUGGCGGGGUAAUGGCCCACCAAGACGAUGAUCUGUAUCCGGCCUGAGAGGGCGCACGGACACACUGGAACUGAAACACGGUCCAGACUCCUACGGGAGGCAGCAGUGGGGAAUUUUGCGCAAUGGGGGAAACCCUGACGCAGCAACGCCGCGUGGAGGAUGAAGCUCUUCGGAGUGUAAACCUCUGUUGCCCGGGACGAAUAGCGGAUUUUCCGACUUGACGGUACCGGUGAGGAGCACCGGCUAACUCCGCGCCAGCAGCCGCGGU
rnacentral:rRNA from 1 species